UUUUACCCCUUUGAUAUGUUUUUUCUUCUUCUUUUGU
rnacentral:sRNA from 1 species